rnacentral:lncRNA from 10 species
CCCAGGGACACAAAAACUGCGGAAGGCCGCAGGGACCUCUGCCUAGGAAAGCCAGUCUCUCGUUCCACCUUAUGAGAAACACCCACAGGUGUGGAGGGGCAACCCACCCCUACAGAAGGGGCCACUGGGGCAGGGAAGAGACAGAUGUUGGAUUUUAGAGGAUCCGGUAAAGGAUGCUACUCUUCUCCAUCCAAGUUUGAAAGCGACUGAGAGAGACACACAACAGUCAGACAGAGAGAGAUCAAAAUAUUUUCCUGUGACUUAAGAGCAAUGGCCAAGCUGGCUUCCUGCUAUCCUACCCUUGAACUUGACAUUCACCCACUGAAAAUGCCCAGUCCCUGGCUCAGUGGGGAUACCAGAGGCUGCUAACUGCCAGGCAGCAACAGACCAAUAAAGGCUUCCAAAAGAGAUGGUGCGCUGGGCUGGGCAUGCCCAGGAGCUCCUCCCACGCUUGGCCAUCAGAUUCUAUGCAAAGCAGACAGCCGUGUAGAAAGUGAUCGGACAAAAGAGCAUGAUUCAUGGGAAUAGACUGAGCGCGGAUACCCAGCAAGUCCUGUCUAUUGAGAUGCUUCUUGGCCUCUCUGUACGGCACUCCUUCCAGCAGGUAUCGGGCAGGACCCUUUCUGGAAUAGGGGUCUUCAGGGGAGAAGGGAGAGAGUGACCCUUUCUAGGUUUUAUGGCUUGCUUUAGGGGAGAGGGGUUCUAGUUUCUAUGACUGGGGAAAAAGAAUUCUGGUGUCUAUGGAUUCCUCUGGGGGCGAAAGAGGGGCAGGAGACAGGAGGAUGGGAGAACGUCAGAGAGAGAGUUGACUUUUGAGACCUUCCAGUUUCUUUAGUUCAAAGUACUCAGCCUGCCAUAGUGCCAUACUUUGGAGUACCGUUUCUGAGCCCCAACAGCUGUGCACGUACAUUAGAGAAAGCUGGAAGUUACAGAUGAGCAAAAAUAAGAAAACAAAACCACUCUAUUCCUACCAUCUAGGGAGUA